GGAGUCGGUGGGUGCAGAUGGCGGCGGCAGUUGCGGUGGCGGAGGGGGACAGCGACUCCCGGCCCGGACAGGAGUUGUUAGUGGCCUGGAACACCGUGAGCACCGGCCUGGUGCCGCCGGCUGCGCUGGGGCUGGUGUCUUCCCGAACCAGCGGUGCAGUCCCGCCAAAGGAAGAGGAGCUCCGGGCGGCGGUGGAGGUUCUGAGGGGCCACGGCCUACACUCGGUCCUGGAGGAGUGGUUCGUAGAGGUGCUGCAGAACGAUCUGCAGGCCAACAUCUCCCCUGAGUUCUGGAAUGCCAUCUCCCAAUGCGAGAACUCUGCGGAUGAGCCCCAGUGCCUUCUGCUGCUCCUUGACGCUUUUGGCCUGCUGGAAAGCCGCCUGGAUCCCUACCUGCGUAGUCUAGAGCUGCUCGAGAAAUGGACUCGCCUGGGCUUGCUAAUGGGCACUGGUGCUCAGGGGUUGCGAGAAAAAGUCCACACUAUGUUGCGUGGAGUCUUGUUCUUUAGCACCCCCAGAACCUUCCAAGAGAUGAUCCAGCGUCUGUAUGGGUGCUUCUUGAGAGUCUAUAUGCAGAGUAAGAGAAAGGGGGAAGGGGGCACAGACCCGGAACUGGAGGGGGAGCUGGACAGCCGGUAUGCCCGUCGCCGGUACUACCGGCUCCUGCAGAGCCCGCUGUGUGCAGGGUGCAGCAGUGACAAGCAACAGUGCUGGUGUCGGCAGGCUCUGGAGCAGUUCCAUCAGCUCAGCCAGGUCUUGUGAGUAGUCUGUCCCGAUGGCCAUGCCCUUGCUCCUUCUGGUUCCCCGCUGCUCCCCUGGGUCCAGCUGGCCUCAGCAGAAAGCUGGUGAGCCGUCCUGAUAACCAGGAACAUGACAGAGAGAGAGUCCCAGGGAUUCCUGUGCAGUGUGUCCUGGACACAGGUGUCUCUCUUCUGUCACUCACCUCUAGUCCCACAGAUUAAUGUCUUGACCCUGGUAAGGCCCUAUGUGGCUUAUGUCUGCAGCAGCAAAUUUCUUAGCAACUCCAAACUUCCUGGACUCUGCAGAAUUCCACUGUGCCUUUUGUCGAUCCUGGGGAGGAAUGAUUCUCACCCUCGUCGACAUUCCUUGUCCUGUAAUUGUGAACAGAAGCUUGCUGCUGCUUUUCUCCAGGGAGAUCAGGUCACUGUGAGGGCAAGCAGUCUCCUGUUAGUUUGGAGAGGAGAGGGUUUUGUUGUGAGAGACAGGACCUGUUGUAGUCCUCUAGCAAUUGUCACACUCUUGGCUGUUUGUGGUGGCUUUGUCACAUUGAACAGCGGUGUAGCCACGCAGCUAUUUGAGAGGCCUUAGGUGGACUAAAGGUGGACUAAAGGUGGACUAAAGGAGUGGUCCUGUUGCUGGCAGGGGUCAGGGAGACCGUGAAGGGCUUCUGUUGGGCUCAUCCCUGCAAAAGUUACACGGCAACCUUUCUCAUCCUCCUCUUUAGUCGUUUUGUCACUGUAGACCAGAGACUGCACUGAAAGGCACAAACAGUGGCAUCUGUACCUCUGCGGCCAGGGUAGCAGUGCAGUUGGUUGUUGUUUCAGAGUUGAUCCUCG
rnacentral:sRNA from 1 species